rnacentral:rRNA from 1 species
GGACUACUGGGGUAUCUAAUCCCGUUUGCUCCCCUGGCUUUCGCGCACUCAGCGUCAGUGAAGGUCCAGCAUGCCGCUUUCGCCACCGGAGUUCCUGAUGAUAUCAACACAUUUCACCGCUCCACCAUCAGUUCCGCAUGCCCCUACCUUACUCGAGACCGCCAGUAUCAGAGGCAGUUCUCCAGUUGAGCUGGAGGAUUUCACCCCUGACUUUGCGGUCCGCCUACGCGCCCUUUAAGCCCAGUGAUUCCGAACAACGUUUGCACGGUUCGUCUUACCGCGGCUGCUGGCAC